UCUAAAGUCAACUGACUCCAUCUGACACAUAUUUCUACUUUGUUUCAGCAAGUAAAUGUUUUGUCGUAGUAAUGCCUUGAUAGAAUAGAUUGAUAAAACAAUGUCACUGACAUUGUCAUGUUUUCUGUUGUAUGUCAGGAGUUAUGGCAGGUACACAGGGCAAAUGGCAGGCAUUACCACCUGCCACAAAAGCCCAUUACAGUGAGGAGGCAGACAAGCUACGGUCAGGAGUUGAAGGGGAACCUGAAGGCAUUAAAAAUGAAGCAGAUGGACAGGGCAGAGUUCCAUGUAUGACUGUGGCUGCCAAGCAGGUGGUCAUUGAAGUAGAGGGCAUGCCAGCUAGGAUAGAGUUGAAAAAGCCCUCCCACUAUGGCAUGGACCAACUAUCUUCCAUUUUGGAGGCAGGCCGUGGCAUCAAGUUCACAAUAACUAGGGGUGGUGCUGGGCCUAGAGCUGGAGAUGGGAGUGGAGCUGGGCCUUGA
rnacentral:lncRNA from 1 species